UCACUGAGUGCUAAUUCACUGAGCUUCCCUCCUGCUCACUCUUUCCCCUUUAAAUAUUGAAAUUCUCAAAACUUUCUUCGGAAAAAGUGCUGGUCACAGGUCCUACUGUGACUUGGGUUUCUAUUUCCCAGACACAUCCUCAACCUUGGCAAGAUAAACCUCUAAUCAAUUGAGAUCUGUGUCAGUCACUCUUUCGUUGGGUUACAUUUUGGUAGCCAUGAAGGCAUUCUCUGAAAGGAGUGUGAAGUUUAGACCUCGGUCUACAGCAGCUUCCCUAUCAGGGCCCUGCUACUAGCUGGAGCUCUUAUUGUCCUGACAGAUGACUUGAUUUGCUAAAGUGUGGGAGCUUCUCCCUCCAGAGAUCCCUGAUCUCCCAAUAAUUUUUGGUUGAGAUCUGAGGUUUAUUCUGCUGCUGAGCUCCUCUUCUGGGAGUUUUCUGCUUCUGUGAUGGCCAAGAGCAGGCUUCCACUUGGGCUCCAUCUCCAGGAAGUUCACAGAGUUUUGGGCCUUUGGAGUGGAAGGUCAUCCAAGAAACGAAGACCCCAGAGAGUAUGGCCGGACAGAAGUAUUUGAGCCUUUGGGGCCACGAAAAAGCCUAGCUUUAUGCAUUGUCCUUUGUCGUGGGCUUACUCUGAAUCUGGUACAUAUUUAAAAUCCCUUACUUCUGGGCAUGGUGGUUCAUACCUGUAAUCCCAGCAGUUUGAGAGGCCGAGACGGGUAGAUCACUUGAGAUCAGGAGUUCCAGACCAGCCUGGCCAACAUGAAGAAACCCUGUCUCUACUUAAAAUACAAAAAUGAGUCAACCAUGGUGGUGUGUACCUGUAAUUCCAGCUACUCGGGAGGCUAAGGCACAAGAAUAGCUGAAACCCAGGAGGCAGAGGUUGCAAUGAGCAGAGAUUGCACCACUGGACUCUAGCCUGGAUAAUGGACUGAGACUCUGUCUCAAAAUAAGAGCUGAGCUUUCGUUGCCGUCCAUCACUGCUGAAUGCUGCCGUCGCAGACCCUCCGCUGACUUCCACCCCUCCGGAUCCAGCAGGGUGUCUGCUGUGCUUCUGAUUCAGUGAAGCACCCAUUGCUGACUUCCACCCCUCCAGAUCCGGCAGGGUGUCCACUGCGCUUCUGAUCCAGUAAGGCACCCAUGGCGGCUCCUGCUCCCCACUGGGCUAGAGGCUUACCAUUGUUCCUGCCCAGCUAAGUGCCCGGGUUCAUCCUAAUCGAGCUGACCACUAGUCGCUGGGUUCCACAGUUCUCUUCCAUGACCCACAGCUUCUAAUAGAGCUAUAACACUCACUGCACGGCCGGAGGUUCCAUUCCUUGGAAUCCAUGAGGCCAAGAACCCCAGGUCAGAGAAUAAAAGGCUUGCUGCCAUCUUGGAUGCAGCCCACCACCAUCUUGGGAGCUCUAACAGCAAAGACCCACCCAGUAACAGUGUUGUGUGUAGGACAUUUCUCUCCCCAGUGUAGAGCUUCAUGCCAAGUUGCAUAAGGGCUUUCACAAAAAAAGCUCUAAGUGACUUGUAAUUUUGAUUGACUGGUAUGUAGCCAUGUAUGAAUGUGGUUGAACACAGAAGGAAACCAUCGAUAUUCACAUAUCUCUGCACUGAAACAUCUUUUUUUCACUAACUCAGCUCUGGUAUUUGCCUUUAGUCACCAUCUCAUAUCAUGACAUUUUCUAAGAUGAGUUUACCUCUGGGAUGACACUUGUCCUUCUUUCCUAGAAUUCUAAGAUGAGUUUACCUCUGGGAUGACACUUGUCCUUCUUUCCUAGAAUUCUAAGAUGAGUUUACCUCUGGGAUGACACUUGUCCUUCUUUCCUAGAAUGACCGCAUAUAGGUCUACUUCACAUACACUUAAAAUGUUUCUAAAACUUUUGGUUGCAUGAAGAACAAAAUGUUUACUUUUACUUGGAAAUAUUGGUGAGGUUUUCAUAGAGAAAAUGAGAAAUAGCUCCCUCUGAAUAGUGUACCAGAAUCUCACAGCAAACAAAAGUGGUGAAUCCUGGUGGGAAUGCAAAAUAGUACAGUUAUAGAAGAGUGGCAGUUUCUUACAAAACUAAAACCUACUUUUAUUAUAUGAUCUAACAAGAGUGCCCCUUGGUAUUUAUCCAAAUGAGUUGGAAACUUAUAUCCAUACAAAAGCCUGCAUACAAAUAUUUAUAAUAGUUCUAUUUAUAACUGCCUAAACUUGGAAGCAACUAAGCUGACCUUCAGUAGGUAAAUAGAUUUAAAAAAAAAAAACUAUGGAAUAUUUUGCAGUGCAAAGAAGAAAUAAGCUAUCAAGCUAUGUAAAGACACAGAGGAAUCUUGCCUAUAUAUUACUAAGUGAAAGAAACCAACCUGAAAAAGCUACCUACUAUAUGAUUCUCACUAUAUGGCAUUCUAGAAAAGACAAGAGUAUAGACAGUAAAAAUAUCAUAGUUUCCAAGUGUUGGAGAGAGGGAGAGAUGAAUAGGUAAGGCACAGAAGAUUUUUAGGCCAGUGAAACUAUUCUGUGUAAUACUAUAGUGGUGAAUACAUGUCAUCAAUACAUUUGACAAACAU
rnacentral:lncRNA from 1 species